ACAGGUGCUGCGAUGGCUGUCGUCAGCUCGUGUCGUGAGAUGUUCCGGUUAAGUCCGCUAACGAGCGCAACCCUCGCUGUGUGUUAUAUGUGUCGACACGGGACUGCCGGUCUUAAGCCGGAGGAAGGUGGGGGAUGAUGUCAAGUCAGCAUGGCCUUUAUAUCCUGGGCUACACACACGCUACAAUGGCCAACACAAUAGGUUGCUAAGCCGCGAGGUGGCGCCAAUCCAUAAAGUUGGUCUCAGUUCAGAUUGUAGGCUGCAACCCGCCUGCAUGAAGAUGGAGUUGCUAGUAACCGCAGGUCAGCUAUACUGCGGUGAAUACGUUCCCGGGGCUU
rnacentral:rRNA from 1 species